UGGGGUGUGGCUGAGUGGGAGAGUGCUCACCUGAUAUGCGUGAGGCCCUGGGUUUCAUCCCCAGCACUGUAA
rnacentral:tRNA from 1 species